rnacentral:rRNA from 1 species
GAUGAACGCUAGCGGCAGGCUUAACACAUGCAAGUCGAGGGGCAGCAUAAUGGAUAGCAAUAUCUAUGGUGGCGACCGGCGCACGGGUGCGUAACGCGUAUGCAACCUACCUUUAACAGGGGGAUAACACUGAGAAAUUGGUACUAAUACCCCAUAAUAUCAUAGACGGCAUCUUUUAUGGUUGAAAAUUCCGAUGGUUAGAGAUGGGCAUGCGUUGUAUUAGCUAGUUGGUGGGGUAACGGCUCACCAAGGCGACGAUACAUAGGGGGACUGAGAGGUUAACCCCCCACACUGGUACUGAGACACGGACCAGACUCCUACGGGAGGCAGCAGUGAGGAAUAUUGGUCAAUGGACGCAAGUCUGAACCAGCCAUGCCGCGUGCAGGAUGACGGCUCUAUGAGUUGUAAACUGCUUUUGUACGAGGGUAAACGCAGAUACGUGUAUCUGUCUGAAAGUAUCGGACGAAUAAGGAUCGGCUAACUCCGUG